rnacentral:rRNA from 1 species
CAGCGGCGCACGGGUGAGUAACACGUAGGUAACCUACCUUCGAGCCCGGGAUAACCUGUCGAAAGACGGGCUAAUACCAGAUAAGACCACGGGGGUUGCGACUUCCGAGGUAAAAGGUGGCCUCUGCUUGCAAGCUACCGCUUGAGGAUGGGCCUGCGCGCCAUUAGCUAGUUGGCGGGGUAACGGCCCACCAAGGCAAAGAUGGCUAGCUGGUCUGAGAGGAUGACCAGCCACACUGGGACUGAGACACGGCCCAGACUCCUACGGGAGGCAGCAGUGGGGAAUAUUGCGCAAUGGGCGAAAGCCUGACGCAGCGACGCCGCGUGGGUGAUGAAGGCCUUCGGGUCGUAAAGCCCUGUCGGGAGGGACGAAACCUCGGCGACCUAAUAUGUCGCCGACUUGACGGUACCUCCGAAGGAAGCACCGGCUAACUCCGUGCCAGCAGCCGCGGUAAUACGGAGGGUGCGAGCGUUGUUCGGAAUCACUGGGCGUAAAGCGCGUGUAGGCGGCCUUGUAGGUUUGGUGUGAAAGCCCGGGGCUUACCCCCGGAAGUGCACUGGAGACUGCAAGGCUAGAGUACCGGAGAGGAAAGUGGAAUUCCUGGUGUAGCGGUGAAAUGCGUAGAUAUCAGGAGGAACACCGGUGGCGAAGGCGGCUUUCUGGACGGAUAC